CUGGCUCAGGACGAACGCUGGCGGCGUGCCUAAUACAUGCAAGUCGAGCGGACAGAAGGGAGCUUGCUCCCGGAUGUUAGCGGCGGACGGGUGAGUAACACGUGGGUAACCUGCCUGUAAGACUGGGAUAACUCCGGGAAACCGGAGCUAAUACCGGAUAGUUCCUUGAACCGCAUGGUUCAAGGAUGAAAGACGGUUUCGGCUGUCACUUACAGAUGGACCCGCGGCGCAUUAGCUAGUUGGUGGGGUAAUGGCUCACCAAGGCGACGAUGCGUAGCCGACCUGAGAGGGUGAUCGGCCACACUGGGACUGAGACACGGCCCAGACUCCUACGGGAGGCAGCAGUAGGGAAUCUUCCGCAAUGGACGAAAGUCUGACGGAGCAACGCCGCGUGAGUGAUGAAGGUUUUCGGAUCGUAAAGCUCUGUUGUUAGGGAAGAACAAGUGCGAGAGUAACUGCUCGCACCUUGACGGUACCUAACCAGAAAGCCACGGCUAACUACGUGCCAGCAGCCGCGGUAAUACGUAGGUGGCAAGCGUUGUCCGGAAUUAUUGGGCGUAAAGGGCUCGCAGGCGGUUUCUUAAGUCUGAUGUGAAAGCCCCCGGCUCAACCGGGGAGGGUCAUUGGAAACUGGGAAACUUGAGUGCAGAAGAGGAGAGUGGAAUUCCACGUGUAGCGGUGAAAUGCGUAGAGAUGUGGAGGAACACCAGUGGCGAAGGCGACUCUCUGGUCUGUAACUGACGCUGAGGAGCGAAAGCGUGGGGAGCGAACAGGAUUAGAUACCCUGGUAGUCCACGCCGUAAACGAUGAGUGCUAAGUGUUAGGGGGUUUCCGCCCCUUAGUGCUGCAGCUAACGCAUUAAGCACUCCGCCUGGGGAGUACGGUCGCAAGACUGAAACUCAAAGGAAUUGACGGGGGCCCGCACAAGCGGUGGAGCAUGUGGUUAAUUCGAAGCAACGCGAAGAACCUUACCAGGUCUUGACAUCCUCUGACAACCCUAGAGAUAGGGCUUUCCCUUCGGGGACAGAGUGACAGGUGGUGCAUGGUUGUCGUCAGCUCGUGUCGUGAGAUGUUGGGUUAAGUCCCGCAACGAGCGCAACCCUUGAUCUUAGUUGCCAGCAUUCAGUUGGGCACUCUAAGGUGACUGCCGGUGACAAACCGGAGGAAGGUGGGGAUGACGUCAAAUCAUCAUGCCCCUUAUGACCUGGGCUACACACGUGCUACAAUGGACAGAACAAAGGGCUGCAAGACCGCAAGGUUUAGCCAAUCCCAUAAAUCUGUUCUCAGUUCGGAUCGCAGUUUGCAACUCGACUGCGUGAAGCUGGAAUCGCUAGUAAUCGCGGAUCAGCAUGCCGCGGUGAAUACGUUCCCGGGCCUUGUACACACCGCCCGUCACACCACGAGAGUUUGCAACACCCGAAGUCGGUGAGGUAACCUUUAUGGAGCCAGCCGCCGAA
rnacentral:rRNA from 1 species